AUAUCUCUCCGUACGGGAAGGGUGAGAACCUUCGAUUAAGGUUCGACUUGAGCGAAAGCGAGAGAACGUUGCCAACGGCAACGGCCCGUAGGGUGAGG
rnacentral:sRNA from 1 species